GGAAGAAGGCUGGCAGUCAGAGUGGCCACUACAGUUCUCUGCAGCAGACCCUCUUUCCCAGGCCAGACAGCUCAGCCUUUGCCAGAUUUAUGAUACCCUAGAGACAUCUCUUGGUUGCAGCCCUUCAAAGAAAAAUGUUCCUUUAGGGACAGUGUUGAUAUCCUUGCAGUGCACCAGGAAUUUAUUAUGAAGUAUAAACUGUCCAAGAAAAUAGACAGCAAUGAACAGAGGAUGGAACUAAAGCUGGCAGACCCAGAAGAAAAAUGACUCAUUCAGAUUUUAAUGAACAAAUCUGAUCCAAACACAGCAAGGGCUGGAACUUUCACCUAAAUGGAGGAAGACCAAAACAGCAGGGAGGAGACAGCUAGUCAUCUACUUCUUUUGAAGCUAGGCUGCAGAUACUAUGGGCAGAAAAUCUGCAGAUAAAGUAGGAUAUAGACUGCAUCAAGGCUGCCCUGAAAAAUUACUAGCAAGAUAGAAGAAGAAGAGCAUGGGAGCUGGAGAACAACUUGUAUUGUUUAGAAAAAGUCAUUUGUUAAUAGUUAUUUCAAAAAUUAGAAGUAAUAUUAUAUACUCUCUAUAUUUUUAAACUGAGAACAAAACUGCAGAUUUGUUAAAAUAAGGUUUAGUUCUUUCAGCUGUGAUAUUUUAUUUUGUAUAAAUGUGUAUUUUUUAUAAACAGCA